GUUAAGGGAAGUGUUGUACGUUGGUAGGCUGCACGCGAGGGGUGAUGGCCAUGUCUGGUGCAAUUUUCCUAAUUAGCGGCACCCCGGCCAGUCACUCCUGAGAGGCGCUGGGAGUGUGAGGAGCGAGAAACUGAGGCGUCACAUCAGAGCUUCGCCCAAUUAGCAGGAAGCACCGUGGGACUUCAGACAAUCAGCACGUUGACGGAGCCUUUCUUACCUGUCCGUUUGGUGCUGUGUUGGAGGGUAAUUGAAGAUAACCACUACAACAACAUCGGUACAUCCAAUGCUCAUCUCCUCUACUGGCAGUUCUAUAUUUAGAAAGUACAUGAAACAAAGUCCCUGUUGACCCGCGGUGGACUGGGGAAAGCUGGCACACUUGUGGCGUCCUGUCAGAUGACGCACUUACGAGGGAUUCCAGCCCUCGCUCAAUAUUUCCUGGUUGGCUUCGUUAGUGACAAGUGAUGCUUGGCGCGAGAAGCAAUCAGGGAAAUGGAGUUUUCUUUGAUUUGUCUAACUGUGUAACGAGUAGAAGUGAAUAAAAACUUAUUAGAAUGUUAAUUACUGGUUGAUGAAAUGUUGAGUUAGAAUUUAACAGUAAUCCAUCAAUAAGUUCUCAAGUAUUAGAGUUUAUUUGUGACUUUUCCUUAUAGGUCAUAGAUGAAAUGUCUAAAGGAAUAGUAUUUUCUCAUAAUUUUCUUAUAUUCUCGUGGAUGAGUUUGAAUUUAACAGGAAUAGAGCAAUCAGCCCUCUAAUGGUG